rnacentral:rRNA from 1 species
UGACUAUAAGUUCAACGGCCGCGGUAUUUUGACCGUGCAAAGGUAGCGCAAUCACUUGUCUUUUAAAUAAAGACCUGUAUGAAUGGCUAAACGAGGGCUUAACUGUCUCCCCUUUCAAGUCAGUGAAAUUGAUCUACCCGUGCAGAAGCGGGUAUAACAAUACAAGACGAGAAGACCCUUUGGAGCUUAAGGUACAAAACUCAAUCACGUCAAACAACUCAAUAAAAAGCAAAAACCUUGUGAAGUAUGAAAUUUUACCUUCGGUUGGGGCGACCACGGAGGAAAAAAAAGCCUCCAAGUGGACCGGGAUAAAACUCCUAAAACCAAGAAGGACACCUCUAAGCCACAGAACAUCUGACCAAACAUGAUCCGGCCACCAUAGCCGAUCAACGAACCAAGUUACCCUAGGGAUAACAGCGCAAUCCUCUCCCAGAGUCCAUAUCGACGAGGGGGUUUACGACCUCGAUGUUGGAUCAGGACAUCCUAAUGGUGCAGCCGCUAUUAAGGGUUCGUUUGUUCAACGAUUAAAGUCCU